rnacentral:rRNA from 1 species
AGCGAACGCUGGCGGCAGGCCUAACACAUGCAAGUCGCACGAACCCUUCGGGGUUAGUGGCGGACGGGUGAGUAACACGUGGGAACGUGCCUUUAGGUUCGGAAUAACUCAGGGAAACUUGUGCUAAUACCGAAUGUGCCCUUCGGGGGAAAGAUUUAUCGCCUUUAGAGCGGCCCGCGUCUGAUUAGCUAGUUGGUGAGGUAAAGGCUCACCAAGGCUACGAUCAGUAGCUGGUCUGAGAGGAUGACCAGCCACAUUGGGACUGAGACACGGCCCAAACUCCCACGGGAGGCAGCAGUGGGGAAUCUUGCGCAAUGGGCGAAAGCCUGACGCAGCCAUGCCGCGUGGAUGAUGAAGGUCUUAGGAUUGUAAAAUCCUUUCACCGGUGAAGAUAAUGACUGUAGCCGGAGAAGAAGCCCCGGCUAACUUCGUGCCAGCCGCCGCCGCGGUAA